GCUGGAAAUGGAGAACUGGGUCCCUGAUGUACUGGAAGCUUUCCCAAGGUGUAGUGUGGUGACGACCUGUCUUAGAAGAGGAGGUGGAGCAAUCAAUAACCAGGGAGUUUGGAGAGGGAUGCUUCAGAAGGAGAAACAUGUGUGGCCGGAGGCACAUCAGUAGGAGGAUCAGCC